AGAGUUUGAUCAUGGCUCAGAUUGAACGUUGGCGGCAGGCCUAAAACAUUGCAAGUCGAACGGUAACAGCGGAAGCUUGCUUCCGGCUGACGAGUGGCGGACGGGUGAGUAACACGUAGGAAUCUACCUAGUAGUGGGGGACAACCCGGGGAAACCCGGGCUAAUACCGCAUACGCUCUACGGAGGAAAGCAGGGGAUCUUCGGACCUUGCGCUAUUGGAGGAGCCUGCGUCGGAUUAGCUAGUUGGUGGGGUAAAGGCCUACCAAGGCGACGAUCCGUAGCUGGUCUGAGAGGACGAUCAGCCACACUGGAACUGAGACACGGUCCAGACUCCUACGGGAGGCAGCAGUUAGGAAUCUUGGGCAAUGGGCGCAAGCCUGACCCAGCCAUGCCGCGUGUGUGAAGAAGGCCUUCGGGUUGUAAAGCACUUUCAGCGGUGAAGAAAAGCUCAGGGCCAAUAUCCUUGAGUCUUGACGUUAACCGCAGAAGAAGCACCGGCUAACUCCGUGCCAGCAGCCGCGGUAAUACGGAGGGUGCGAACGUUAAUCGGAAUCACUGGGCGUAAAGCGCGCGUAGGCGGUUUGUUAAGUGGGAUGUGAAAGCCCCGGGCUUAACCUGGGAAUUGCAUUUCAAACUGGCGAACUAGAGUGCGGUAGAGGGAGGUAGAAUUUCCUGUGUAGCGGUGAAAUGCGUAGAUAUAGGAAGGAAUACCAGUGGCGAAGGCGGGUCUCUGGGCAAUUCCUGACGCUGAGGCGCGAAAGCGUGGGGAGCAAACGGGAUUAGAUACCCCUGUAGUCC
rnacentral:rRNA from 1 species